rnacentral:tRNA from 4 species
GGGCCUGUAGCUCAGUUGGUUAGAGCGCACGACUGAUAAUCGUGAGGUCGAUGGUUCGAAUCCAUCUAGGCCCACCA